rnacentral:tRNA from 1 species
GCCCGGGUGGCGGAAUUGGUAGACGCGCUCGUUUCAGGUGCGAGUAGGGUUAAAGCUGUGCAGGUUCGAGUCCUGUUCCGGGCA